ACGUCAUGGACGUGUUCUGUAUAGAACGCGGAAGGCUGUUGGACAACAACUCUGUGAGGACCUUAGAGGGACCGGACCGCCACAGUUUGCACUGUUUGGUGGAU
rnacentral:rRNA from 1 species